rnacentral:rRNA from 1 species
CGGUCCAGACUCCUACGGGAGGCAGCAGUGGGGAAUAUUGCACAAUGGGCGCAAGCCUGAUGCAGCCAUGCCGCGUGUGUGAAGAAGGCCUUCGGGUUGUAAAGCACUUUCAGCGGGGAGGAAGGCGAUAAGGUUAAUAACCUUGUCGAUUGACGUUACCCGCAGAAGAAGCACCGGCUAACUCCGUGCCAGCAGCCGCGGUAAUACGGAGGGUGCAAGCGUUAAUCGGAAUUACUGGGCGUAAAGCGCACGCAGGCGGUCUGUCAAGUCG